UCUGCACAGAACACACAGGAACACUGAAUAUUAAUAAGAGGAUAAAACAUGAAAAUCAAGAAUACUCAAUAACUCAAUAAAUGAGAAACCUAAAGUUCUUCUGGAAUCACAAAGUACUGUCUCCUUUAUCUUUUUCUCAGAGGUCAGUAAACUGGGAAUUCUGGUAAAAUAAGACUAUAGGAAGCAUUUAUAUAUUUAUCAGGUAAUUAUCUGGAAGUCAUUCAGCAAACAUACUUCCGAACUGCCCCAGUUUUUCAGUUGUCAUAUUUUAGUACAGGUAAAAUAUGUUAGUACACUCACCUAGCAGUGCUAGGACUAUUGACUGGACUUGUGUUUGUCACUUGUUUUUUCAUGAGUUACAUUAAUGGAUUUCCACUUGAUAAACCAACUUACAAAUUGUAGGAUAAAAUGUACUUGGCCAUGAUAUGUAAGAAUAUAUAUAUAUAUUCUUUUUAUAUAUUAUUAGGACUUUUGCAUCUAUGUUCAUUGGAAAUGCUGGUCUGUAGCUUUCUUCUAAUAUCUCUGUCUGGUGGUGGUAUCAAGAUAAUGCUGCCACAUAAAGUCAGUUGGAAAUUAUUCCCUUCUCCUGUUUUCUAGAAGUUUGUGUAAAUUUGGCUUUAUUUCUUCCGUAGUUGUUUGCUUCAGUAAAUCCAUUUAUGCCUGGAGUUUUCUUUACUGGAAGGUUUUUAACUAAAAAUUCAAUCACUUGAAUUGAUUAGGGCUAUUCAGGCUAUUUACCUUGAGUGCCCUGUGGUAGUUUAGUGUCUUCUAAGGACUCUGUACAGAGUUGUUCAUAAUAUCCCCUAAUUAUCUUUUUAGUCUACAGAAUCUAGGUAAUACACCCCCUUCCUUAUUCCUGAUACUGGUAAUGUGGUUUUUUAUUUUUUUUUUCCCUGAUCAUACUGCUUAGAGGUUUCUUAAAUUUAUCUCUUCAAAGAACUAGCAUUUGGCUUUUUAUUUAUUUCUGCUUCCAUUAUUAUCUUCUUUUGUCUGCUUAAUUUGCUCUUUGCACUUCUUAAAGAGGAAGCUUAUAUUACCAACAGAACCUUUCUUCUUUUCUACAAUGAGCAUUUAAAGCUAUAAAUUUCCCUCUAAACACACCUUUAGUUGCCUCCCAUGAAAUCUGAUAUUUUGAUAAACAGUUUACUCUUGACCAACAUGGGUUUGAACUAUGUGGGUUCACUUAAAGGCCAAUUUUUUGGAUAGAUUCAGUAUAGUACUGCAGAAGGAUUUUCUCUUAUGAUUUUAUUUUACUAUAUUUUUUCUCUUCCUCAUGAUUUUAGUAACAAUUAACUUUCUCUAGCUUACUUUAUUCCAAGAAUGCAGUAUACAAUAGGCAGAACAUAUAAAAUAUGUGUUAAUCACUAUUUAUAUUAUCGGUAAGACUUGUGGUCAAGAGUAGCUAUAAGUAGGUACAUUUUUGGGGGAGUCAAAAGAUAUACAAGGAUUUUCAGCUGCAUGGGGGGUCAGCCUCCCCAACCCUUGUGUUGUUCAAAGGUCGUCUGUAUUAUGUUUUCAUUCUUAUAAUUUCCCAUGAUUUCUCCUACUUACUGAUUCGAUUUAUAAUAAUUAUAGUCCUUGACUUGUGAUGGUUUGAUGAAUGAUUUUUUGACUAGUGAUGGUGUGAAAGUGAUUAACAUUUAAUAAAAAUUGUACUUUGAAUUUUCA